GAUAAGCUAGAUAUUUUCCUCAGCAUUACGUGGAAGUAUUCCUCAUGCAUUAUAUGCAAGUAAUCCCUUGCAUUACGUGCAAGUAAUUCCCUUGUGCAGUUUCUAAGUCUCCUCUCCUGUGUUAGGGUCAAUUCUAGAUCGGUUGGGAGAGUUGUGAUCUUCCAAUGGGGCUCAAUUUCUGAUAUGCUGCAGUCGACACCCAUUGGAACAAGUUCCAUGAAGAGCUCCACCUCAUUUGAGCAUUGGGACAUGAUGAAACAAGGCCAAG
rnacentral:lncRNA from 1 species